CUUCCUUGUGUUACAGUCGGGUCUUUGUUCUUAGAGCUCCCGAGAUGGUGGCGGCCGGCUCCCAAGGUGGCAGCAAGACUUUUGUUCUCUGACCUGGGGUUCUUGGCCUCCUGGAUUCCAAAGAAUGGAACCUUGGGGCCAUGCGAUAAAUAUGCUGAGGCAUGUUUUCAAGGAGGGGAGAGAGAUUCCUUUUCCUCAGCCGGGCACAGAGCCAACCUGAAGUGUAGCACUGUGGUGACCUGGCGGGAUCUGCUCUCCAGUCACUCCCGAGGGCCCUUCUGGGGACAAGGAGACUUUUCUGUGCGGCCUGUUGAUUUGAGAUCGAGGCUAUCAAGCUACAGAUGAUCUUACAAAUGGAACCCCAAAUGAGCUCAACUAACAACUACCAAGGACCCCUGGACCAACCCGCUGGCCCUUUCAAUGGCCUAAAGAGUUCCCCUCUGGAGGACACUACAACUGCAGGGUCCUUUCUUUGCCCCUAUCCAGCAGGAAGUAGCUAGAGUGGUCAUCACCCAAUUCCCAACAGCAGUUGGGGUGUCUUGUUAAGUGGGGAGAUUGAGAGGUGAAGCCAGCUGGGCUUCUGGGUUGGGUGGGGACUUGGAGAACUUUUCUGUCUAGCUAGAGGAUUGUAAACACACCAAUCAGUGCUAUGUGUCUAGCUAGAGGUUUGUAAAUGCACCAAUCAGCACUCUGUAAAAACGGACCAAUCAGCACUCUGUAAAAUGGACCAAUCAGUAGGAUGCGGGCAGGGCCAAAUAAGGGAAUAAAAGCUGGCCACCUGAGUCAGCAGUGGCAACCCACUCGGGUCCCCUUCCAUGCUGUGGAAGCUUUGUUCUUUCACUCUUCACAAUAAAUCUUGCUGCUGCUCACUCUUUGGGUCCACACCACCUUUAUGAGCUGCAACACUCACUGCGAAGGUCUUCAGCUUCACUCCUGAAGUCAGCGAGACCACGAACCCAUGGGGAGGAACAAUCGACUUCAGACAUGCCACCUUUAAGAGCUGUAACACUCACUGCGAAGGUCUGUGGCUUCACUCCUGAAGUCAGCAAGACCACGAACCCACUGGAAGGAAGAAAUUUCGGACACAUCUGAACAUCUGAAUGAACAAACUCUGGACACGCCAUCUUUAAGAACUGUAACACUCACUGUGAGGGUUCAUGGGUUCAUUCUUGAAGUCAGCAAGACCAAGAACCCACCAGAAGGAACCAAUUCCGGACACAGACUCACUGCAACCUCCACCUCCUGGAUUCAAGUGAUUCUCCUGCCUCAGCCUCCGGAGUAGCUGUGCCUACAGGCACAAGCCACCACACACGGCUAAUUUUUUGUAUUUUUAGUAGAGAUGGGGUUUCACCAUGUUGCUCAGGCUGGUCUCCAACUCCUGAGCUCAAGUGAUCCACCUGUCUCGGCCUCCCAAAGUGUUGGGAUACAUGUGUGAGCCACUGUGCCCGGCCUCCUCUGGAUUAGUUCUUACAGGAAUAGAUUAGUUCUUGCUCGAGCAAGUUGUUAUAAAAGUGAGGUUGCCUCUAGUGUUUUGCAUCCUCACAUAUGUCUGCUUACCUCUUGACCUCUCUCUGUGUUAUGACCCAGCACAAAAGCCCUUACCAGAAGCCAAGCAGAUGCUGAUGCCACACCCCUUGGACUUCUCAGUCUACAGAGCCAUGAAACGAAUAAACCUCUCUUUAUAAAUUAUCCAGCUUCAGGUAUUCUGUUAUAGCAACACAAAAUGGAC
rnacentral:lncRNA from 1 species